UAGGGAAUCUUCGGCAAUGGACGGAAGUCUGACCGAGCAACGCCGCGUGAGUGAAGAAGGUUUUCGGAUCGUAAAGCUCUGUUGUAAGAGAAGAACGAGCGUGAGAGUGGAAAGUUCACACUGUGACGGUAUCUUACCAGAAAGGGACGGCUAACUACGUGCCAGCAGCCGCGGUAAUACGUAGGUCCCGAGCGUUGUCCGGAUUUAUUGGGCGUAAAGCGAGCGCAGGCGGUUAGAUAAGUCUGAAGUUAAAGGCUGUGGCUUAACCAUAGUAGGCUUUGGAAACUGUUUAACUUGAGUGCAAGAGGGGAGAGUGGAAUUCCAUGUGUAGCGGUGAAAUGCGUAGAUAUAUGGAGGAACACCGGUGGCGAAAGCGGCUCUCUGGCUUGUAACUGACGCUGAGGCUCGAAAGCGUGGGGAGCAAACAGGAUUAGAUACCCUGGUAGUCCACGCUGUAAACGAUGAGUGCUAGGUGUUAGACCCUUUCCGGGGUUUAGUGCCGUAGCUAACGCAUUAAGCACUCCGCCUGGGGAGUACGACCGCAAGGUU
rnacentral:rRNA from 1 species